rnacentral:rRNA from 1 species
GACGAACGCUGGCGGCGUGCCUAAUACAUGCAAGUAGAACGCACAGUUUAUACCGUAGCUUGCUACACCAUAGACUGUGAGUUGCGAACGGGUGAGUAACGCGUAGGUAACCUGCCUGGUAGCGGGGGAUAACUAUUGGAAACGAUAGCUAAUACCGCAUAAUAUUGAUUAUUGCAUGAUAAUUGAUUGAAAGAUGCUAUUGCAUCACUACCAGAUGGACCUGCGUUGUAUUAGCUAGUAGGUGAGGUAACGGCUCACCUAGGCGACGAUACAUAGCCGACCUGAGAGGGUGGUCGGCCACACUGGGAAUGAGACACGGCCCAGAAUACUACGGGAGGCAGCAGUAGGGAAUCUUCGGCAAUGGACGAAAGUCUGACCGAGCAACGCCGCGUGAGUGAAGAAGGUUUUCGGAUCGUAAAGCUCUGUUGUAAGAGAAGAACGGGUGUGAGAGUGGAAAGUUCACACUGUGACGGUAUCUUACCAGAAAGGGACGGCUAACUACGUG